rnacentral:misc_RNA from 1 species
AUUUAAUCACGUGACUACAUUUUAAUAGCAGAAAUGGCGUGAGUUGGUGAAAGACUUGUUCUACAUUUACUUUAAACAAGCAAUCAGCAUUAGUUGAAGCAUUUUGUUUAUUUUAAUGUGAUUGGUUUUUGAGUAUUAAAAGAUCUCUACAUUACUAUCAGCAUAAUGGAUAAACAGUAUUCUGUGAAGUUUUUUACUUCAUUUAUUGAAGCAAUGCAAAAGUUGUGUCGGGAAUACCUCGACUUUGAACAAGGUGUAGAACUGAGUGGUUACUUGGCUGUGGAGAUAGACAACUUCAAAAAGGAAAGAUAUGUGCUGAGUGAACUUGUUCAGAGUACUGGUAAUGUGAUCAGUGAGAGCUACUGCACAAAAGCAUUCAAGACAUUGCGAAAGGAACCACAGCGAGUCUCUAAUGUCCACGGAAGUGAAAAUAUUGCUCCCAGAGAUCACAUGAACAGAACGGGUAGAUCACAUUCUGAGGAAGUUACAAUAAUAUUACGAGACAGUCCAGAGACAGUGUCACGUCAUUCAAAUUUCCCUCUUCACACAACACCUCACAAAUCGUCUAGUAACAGUCAAAGACAUGCCUUUCAUCACAAUCCGCGAGCUCAUACAUUUAGUCGACACAAAGACAGUGCAGCUGUAUCGGUCAGUAAUCCAUUUGAAAUGUCGCCAUCCAGCAGAGGGCAGCAGCAUCAGCAGCCAUUUGAAAUUCAGCCAAGAUGUUCAGAAAGUUUACAAGUUUUGCCUAAUCUGUCGCCAAAAACACCCCAGAAACGCAACAUUGGCGAUGUGGAUUCUGCACAUUUGAGUCCUAUACCUAAAAAAGAUAAAAUUGACCAUAUUGGGUCUGGCAUUGAAUCUUUACUGGCUGCUACAGACAAUGUUAAUGAUACACAUGCAGAUAUGGAUUCCAUGCAGAAUAUUUACUCUACAUCGGCCACGGCAACGACAACGACAUCAGUAUCAGACUCAUUACACACUACAAUAGACUGUUCAUCCCAGCCUGCUAGCGAUGAAAACCUUCGCUUGCCUAUUGGGAUGGACAUUAAACGAGAGAAAGAUGAUGAUUCAUCAUUCAUGAUAAUAGAGAACCCCAGUGAUCCCACAGUUAAACUCUUGGAAGCAGAGGGAAUGUUUGGUGGGGAGCGUGAAAGCUCCCAGACUCUAGGUUUAGAUACUUCCACAAGUUUUUCAGCUGAUUCGCAAAGUGCAGACCAUGGUGACUUUAAGGAUUCAGGAAGUCUUGGUGAUAUGGCAGGAACAUCAUGGGACUCCAGUAAUCAAACUGGUAUUGCCAGCGGACACAGAAUGCUGGCUGAUGCUGAAACCGAUGGGAAAUCUGCUACAGUGUGUGGCAUUUGUCACAAGCAGUUCAUAUAUUCCUAUGAUCUCGCUCGCCACCAUCGCACAGUGCACCUCAACAUGGCCAUGUUCUCAUGCGAAAUCUGUGGGAAAACCUUUAACAGGAAGGACAAUCUAACUCGACAUUACAAGUCUCACAUCCGUUAGGCAUUGCUUGGAUAUGUAGUCAGUGAAUACAAGAUUGUGCUUCAUGGAAAUGUGUAGUUGGAUCAAUCUUUUAAAGCUAUCAGUUGGAAACACUUGGAAAAUGGCUAUUAUAUCAAGUGCCUUGGAUGAUAAGCGAGUUUAUGUGUGCUCGAUAUGUAGCCAGCGGUUUACAGAUCGCAGUAAUCUCCGCAGACACCACAAAACAGUUCACCAGCA